ACGAACGCUGGCGGCGUGCUUAACACAUGCAAGUCGAGCGAUGAAGCUCCUUCGGGAGUGGAUUAGCGGCGGACGGGUGAGUAACACGUGGGCAACCUGCCUCAUAGAGGGGAAUAGCCUUUCGAAGGGAAGAUUAAUACCGCAUAAGAUUGUAGUACCGCAUGGUACAGCAAUUAAAGGAGUAAUCCGCUAUGAGAUGGACCCGCGUCGCAUUAGCUAGUUGGUGAGGUAACGGCUCACCAAGGCGACGAUGCGUAGCCGACCUGAGAGGGUGAUCGGCCACAUUGGGACUGAGACACGGCCCAGACUCCUACGGGAGGCAGCAGUGGGGAAUAUUGCACAAUGGGGGAAACCCUGAUGCAGCAACGCCGCGUGAGUGAUGACGGUCUUCGGAUUGUAAAGCUCUGUCUUUAGGGACGAUAAUGACGGUACCUAGGGAGGAAGCCACGGCUAACUACGUGCCAGCAGCCGCGGUAAUACGUAGGUGGCAAGCGUUGUCCGGAUUUACU
rnacentral:rRNA from 1 species